UGGGGACUGUGGUGUUGGCGUUAUUGUUAGUACUACUGUUUGGUUGAGGUUGAGCACCACCAAUAAUGGAGGUGAUGGCAGCCGCUAGUGCUGCAGUGAAGUUGGGGUCAGCUGUAAUGGCAGCAGUUGCUGCACUCACCGUUUCAGCCAGAGAGUUCUGCUGUGACUGUUGCUGUGAUGAUGGUUGGUGGUGGGUCGGUAAUUGAGCUGCUUCCAUGUCUUGAGACAUUUGCAGGCCAGAGAACUUUGACUGAUUGUAAAGGGCUUGAUUGAAGAUUUGAGGCAGCAGUGAAGAGGGUGUUGCAGCGGCCGGCCCGGCGAGGUUCUGAGUUGGGUUGGGGGAGGGGACAUAGAAUUGGCUUGGUGGCCUUUGGAAUUGUAAGGGGUUGGGGUUUUGAGUAAGGUCUAAUGUAACAGUAGGGAAUGGGGCUGAAGCUGAUAUAGUAGCCAUGCUAGAGGAGCAAGGAAGGACGGUCCUGGCGAGGAAAUUGGAGUUCAUUAGCCCAUCAGCACUGGGCAUUGACCCGGACAGUAGCAUUCGCGCUGCAGACGAAGUGGUCGACGCCAUUGCCAUGGCAGCAGGCGGCAGUGGGUGGUUGUGAUUACCUUCAUAUGUGGUGAUGAGAAUACUCCGAUCCUCCGCGCAUCUUUGCAC
rnacentral:lncRNA from 1 species